UACGGAAGGGGCAAGCGUUGUUCGGAAUCAUUGGGCGUAAAGGGCGCGUAGGUGGUUCUGUAUGUCUACCGUGAAAGCGUACGGCUCAACCGUAUUUUGUCGGUAGAAACUGCAGGACUUGAGGCUGGGAGGGGCUGGUGGAAUUCCCUGUGUAGCGGUGAAAUGCGUAGAUAUCUGGAGGAACACCGGUGGCGAAGGCGGCAUCCUGGACCAAUUCUGACACUGAGGAGCGAAAGCCAGGGGAGCAAACGGG
rnacentral:rRNA from 1 species